UACGGAGGGGGCUAGCGUUAUUCGGAAUUACUGGGCGUAAAGGGCUCGUAGGCGGCCAACUAAGUCAGACGUGAAAUCCCUCGGCUUAACCGGGGAACUGCAUCUGAUACUGGAUGGCUUGAGUUCGGGAGAGGGAUGCGGAAUUCCAGGUGUAGCGGUGAAAUGCGUAGAUAUCUGGAGGAACACCGGUGGCGAAGGCGGCAUCCUGGACCGACACUGACGCUGAGGAGCGAAAGCCAGGGGAGCAAACGGG
rnacentral:rRNA from 1 species